AUGGCAGUGUCUGGAGGAAUGUGGCUGCUAAUGGAAACGGAUGAACCUAAGAAAAGGGUUACCCAGUGGAGAAGUGAACUGUGGUCUUGCCUGGCUAUGGACUUUGGUGGGGCUAGUGCCGCCCAGCAAGGGCUGACUGACAGCUGCCAAGCUGGAGGCGUUCCCACAGCUGCGCAGAAUUUAGCGCAGCGCGCAGCUGUUGCCUGCUGCUCUCCAGGCUGUUAACCCCUUCAAAUACACCUUCCGUGUCCGCAGCCCUCAUCCUCCCAUACAGACUCUGCAGGCACCCCAGCCUGCGGUCCAUGUGCAGGGGCAGGAGCCACUGACUGCCUCCAUGCUGGCUGCAGCAUCACCUCAAGGACCAGAAGCAGAUGCUGGGAGAGCGCUUGUUCCCACUCAUCCAAACAAUGCAUUCAAACCUGGCUGGGAAGAUCACGGGAAUGCUGCUGGAGAUCGACAACUCUGAGCUGCCGCAUAUGUUACAGUCCCCCGAGUCUCUCCACUCCAAGGUGGAUGAAGCUGUAGCAGUUCUACAGGCUCAUGAUGCCAAGAAAGAAGCUUCCCCGAAGGUGGGCGCUGUUGCUGCUGCUACCUCUUAGACAAGGAAAAAUCGAUUCAAAAGCCAAAUAACCCCUCAUGGAAUUCAGCUUAAGGUUUGAAGACUUCCUAGCUUGUCCUAUGGACCUCAACACCAAGAACUACAAAUUGCAAAUUUAAUAGGUCAUUUUGUAUUGAAAGGUCAAUUAUGAAGCGCCUAGAAUUUUUCAAUGAUACGAAUAUAUUCUCUGGGUUCUGCUGUGGCGCAGUGUUAACUUUUUUUUUCUAUUAUGGGUUUUGGUUUUUUCCCCCAGAAAUUGG